GAGUGAGUGGCGGACGGGUGAGUAACACGUGGGUAACCUGCCCUAAAGUGGGGGAUAACAUUUGGAAACAGAUGCUAAUACCGCAUAAAACCUAACACCGCAUGGUGUAGGGUUGAAAGAUGGUUUCGGCUAUCACUUUAGGAUGGACCCGCGGUGCAUUAGUUAGUUGGUGAGGUAAAGGCUCACCAAGACCGUGAUGCAUAGCCGACCUGAGAGGGUAAUCGGCCACACUGGGACUGAGACACGGCCCAGACUCCUACGGGAGGCAGCAGUAGGGAAUCUUCCACAAUGGACGAAAGUCUGAUGGAGCAACGCCGCGUGAGUGAAGAAG
rnacentral:rRNA from 1 species